rnacentral:lncRNA from 1 species
ACUCCGAGGCAGUUCAACUCCAAAGACAGAAGAUCAGUUUUUGGGCUCUGAGAGCCGAAUCGACUCCAAGAUGAUCCGAGUCGACUCGAGCAAGAAAUGCAGAAAUAUAGAUCUCUGGAACCCUGAGAACGAGCCGUCUCCAAAAGUGCCGAGUCAUCUCCGGAUAUUGGCGAGUCGACUCCAGGUUUGGCCGAGUCGACUCCAGAACGGGACAGCACUUUAAUUCAAAUCCCGAACAGUGGAUGAGUCGUCUCCAGUAAAGCAAGAGUCGACUCCAGCAACAGCCGAGUCGACUCCAGAUCGAGCGAGUCGACUCCGACCCCAACGGAUACAUUGUCAGGAGUUGCAGAUUGUGCAGAACGGCCACAAAUUAGUAUCUAACGGCUAGUUUUCAAGGAGGACUGCUUAAAUAGCCAAAGUGAAUAGUAGUAGACAUCAAAGGAGCUAUUCUAUUCAAACAAAAAGGAAUUUCCAUCUACCAAAGGCUCUCAAGAGUAAAUACAAGAGAAAGAAGGAAGAAGCGCAUUGAACUCCAUCCAACAAACUCUUUUCUUCGCAUUCAAGACUCUCCUUCUGACAUCAAAUCUUUAGCGCAUUCAAAAAGGAGACUCAGAGUUCGAGAAGCCCCUUCUUCCUCUUCCAAAAUCUGUUUGAGG